GAAUAAGCGAAGAUUGUUUUAGUGAUACAUGGGCUAAAGUGAAACGGUUCCAAUGCAAAAUCAGCAAGUCAUGAUAUUCGUUAGAAUGAGCAAUUGAGUACAAAGUAAUGGAUCCCUCUACAUCUGAGGUUAAGAUGAUGAUAUCGAAAGGAAUCAUUCGUAUUGUUGGUUUCACCGUUUGAUUUUGUUAAAUUUCUAUCCCUUUCUUCAAAAAUACGUUCAGCCUCAUCAACAUGAUGCCUCAAAGCUACUUACAACAGAAAUUGACACCUUCAAUGAUAUGGUCAUAAUUUCUGUUGCUUUUCUAUCAUGCUUAAAAUUUGUAGGUUUCAUCGUUUUUAUUUUACCUCAUCAGAUCAAUUUGGUUGAACUAGGUGGUUUUUUUUAAGUAGGUGCCUCCUGAUGCAGUUAAACUGUUAUUCCGAUUUCUUUCGAGUUCCAAUAAUAAACCCACAGAUUUUGACCAGGCUUAUCUUAUUUCUUUUAUGGUAGGGGAGAAAGGGGAGUGGAGAGAGAGAGAGAGAGAGAGAGAGAGAGAGGAAAUCAAUGAGGCUUGGUGCAGGGAGGAAGCGCCAACUAUGAACAACAUAUUUGGACCCCAAAACGCUCGUCCCCAUGCGAAGUUUCCCUAGAAAACCUAUAGAAGCAAAUUGGGAAAGUGUUCUGCUCCACAAUCUCCCCUUUGUUUUCAUGAAAAAUCUUAAAUCCUAAACUCUCUUUUUUAUAUUUUUCUCCUCCCCUAAUCUUCAUUUGCAGUUACAAGUUCCAGAGCAGGCUUCAGCCCACUGUGGGAGUGAUGGCUGUCACAGAUCUUGACUGAACCGGAGACACCCUUAUGUAUGGAUGUUCCAACUUUCAGAAUCAGGGCAUUGCUUUGAAAUCUAUAUUUGCCCAAUGUCUGCGCUGAUGCAUUUUUUCUUUUUGAAAUGUAGUUUUGUUUUAACUUUACACCAUUUUGUGCCCAACAAUAUGGAACCAAAGAGAAUCCAAAUUCUUCAAGAAGUUUCUGCUUGAUGCUUAUUGCUUAUUAAGAUUGAUUAUUAUAUAGUUCAUAUUUCUCGCCUUCGAUGCCUAAAAUCUAUUGGAUAUAUACUUUGUGCUUAUUGUAUUAAAUGUUGAAUCUCUCUUUUUACUUCCCUGAAAAGUAUUCCUUGGAAAUGUUCUUUUAAUGUUUCUCUUCUCGAUUGAAGGAUGACUUUCUUCUGUUUAACUACGAUGUCCAAGAGCGAGUGAAUGAAUUUGUUGAUAUUUUCUUCACCCAGAUCAUCAACUGACUGUACCUUGUUAGAAAUUAAAAUUCCAAUGAAUGACUGCCUUGACUAAAAUAACUAUGAUGAAAGACAAAGAAAGAGUUGAUAGAGGUUCAAUAGCUUCAGAAUCCUUUUCAUUCUGGUAAACUGACCCCAUGUUUGAUUCCACCAAUCUUGGCUUCUAAUUAAGGCUAAUGUAGCUAGGACUAUGGGCACUGACUUAUUGUAUCAAUAUGCAAACACAGGCAAAUGGUCAAGCUUCUACAUUAUGUCAAUAAGGUAUGCAGAUCAUGAAUGCAUAUUGGACAGGAUUGUGAAGAUACUUCACAAGUAGGCCAGCCUUCAAAGGUUUGUCGGAAUGAUGAGCGGUUACUAUUUGGUGAGAUUUAAGCCCCUUUCAUAAAGAAAUUUGUGCUGCUGGUGCAGUUAUAAAUGGUUUACCUUGUUAACAAGAAAAUGGGUAUUUUUUAUAAAUUUCUAAAUGCACAAUCAGGAAGCAUGGAAAUCGGAAUUUUUUAAAGGUAGAAAAAGUUUAGGGCUCCACUCAUACACAUUGGUUGAUGCUUUGGCUAUUACCCAACACCCUGAUGUAGUUAGUGGUACACAAAGGUAACAUGUGGCUGAUGAUUAU